GUGUCAGCAGCCGCGGUAAUACGUAGGAGGCUAGCGUUAUCCGGAUUUAUUGGGCGUAAAGCGCGUGUAGGUGGCUCUUCAAGUCGGAUGUAAAAUCUCCUGGCUUAACUAGGAGGGACCAUUCGAAACUGCUGGGCUAGAGUGCAGUAGAGGGAGGUGGAAUUCCCGGUGUAGUGGUGAAAUGCGUAGAUAUCGGGAGGAACACCAGUGGCGAAGGCGGCCUCCUGGGCUGUUACUGACGCUGAGACGCGAAAGCGUGGGGAGCAAACAGGAUUAGAUACCCUGGUAGUCCACGCUGUAAACUUUGGACACUAGGUAUGGGGAGUAUCGACCCUCUCCGUGCCGAAGCUAACGCAUUAAGUGUCCCGCCUGGGGACUACGGUCGCAAGACUAAAACUUAAAUGAAUUGACGGGG
rnacentral:rRNA from 1 species